rnacentral:rRNA from 1 species
UACGUAGGGUGCAAGCGUUAAUCGGAAUUACUGGGCGUAAAGCGUGCGCAGGCGGUUAUAUAAGACAGUUGUGAAAUCCCCGGGCUCAACCUGGGAACUGCAUCUGUGACUGUAUAGCUAGAGUACGGUAGAGGGGGAUGGAAUUCCGCGUGUAGCAGUGAAAUGCGUAGAUAUGCGGAGGAACACCGAUGGCGAAGGCAAUCCCCUGGACCUGUACUGACGCUCAUGCACGAAAGCGUGGGGAGCGAACAGG